rnacentral:rRNA from 1 species
UAAAAGAGAAGUAAAUAAGGGCGUAUGGGGAAUGCCUAGGCUCUCAGAGGCGAAGAAGGACGUGAUAAGCUGCGAAAAGCUGCGGGGAUUGGCAAAUACGAAUUGAUCCGCAGGUGUCCGAAUGGGGCAACCCACCAUGCUGAAGGCGUGGUACACCGCAAGGUGAGCAAACCCAGGGAACUGAAACAUCUAAGUACCUGGAGGAAGAGAAAACAAUAGUGAUUGCGCCAGUAGUGGCGAGCGAACGCGCAAGAGCCCAAACCUACCCAGUUACGGCUGGUUAGGGGUUAUAGGACCACAUAAUUGAGUUACAAAAAAAUUGAACGGUAUGGGAAAGCCGGCCACAGAGGGUGAUAGCCCCGUAAAUGUAAAUUUGUAAUAAGAGGUGGUAUCCUGAGUAGGGCGGGGUCGGAGACGCCCCGUUUGAAUUUGCCGGCACCAUCCGGUAAGGCUAAAUACUACUGAGAGACCGAUAGUGAACCAGUACUGUGAAGGAAAGGUGAAAAGAACCGUGAAUAACGGGGUGAAAUAGAACCUGAAACCGUACGCCUACAAGCGGUCAGAGCUCCUUCGUGGAGUGAUGGCGUGCCUUUUGCAUAAUGAGCCUACGAGUUACUGUCACUGGCGAGGUUAAGGACUUUGAAGUCCGCAGCCGGAGCGAAAGCGAGUCUGAAUAGGGCGCAUAGUCAGUGGGAGUAGACGCGAAACUUUGUGAUCUACCCUUGGUCAGGAUGAAGUGGGGGUAACACCCCAUGGAGGUCCGAACUAGUAAACGUUGAAAAGUUUUUGGAUGAACUGAGGGUAGGGGUGAAAGGCUAAUCAAACUGAGAAAUAGCUCGUACUCCCCGAAAUGCCUUUAGGGGCAGCGUGGAAGUUAAGUUUAAUAGAGGUAGAGCUACCAAUAGGACUAGGGGGAGUCACAUCCUACCAAAUCCUGAUGAACUCCGAAUGCUAUUAAAUAUAUUCCGCAGAGAGGGCAUGGGUGCUAAGGUCCGUGUCCGAGAGGGAAAGAACCCAGACCAACAGCUAAGGUCCCCAAAUCUACACUAAGUUGAACUAAGGUGGUCCAGUUGCUUUGACAGCCAGGAUGUUUGCUUGGAAGCAGCAAUUCAUUUAAAGAGUGCGUAACAGCUCACUGGUCGAGCGACAGGGCAUCAAUAAUAAUCGGGCAUUAAGUGUAGUACCGAAGCUUUGGAUAGUAGUAAUACUGUGGUAGGGGAGCAUUCUAUUCAGCGGAGAAGUCGUCUGGUAAUGGACGGUGGAGCGGAUAGAAAAGCAAAUGUAGGCAUAAGUAACGAUAAGACGGGUGAGAACCCCGUCCACCGAUAGACUAAGGGUUCCGCGGCAAUGUCAAUCAGCCGCGGGUAAGUCGGGUCCUAAGGCAAAGCCGAAAGGCGAAGUUGAUGGCCAACUGGUUAAUAUUCCAGUACUACCUUAUUGAGCGAAGUGGAGAAGGAGCAGUGACAACUCCGCGCCCUGACGAAAGUGGGCGUUGAAAGGCGUAGGUAUAUCAGAUAUAGGCAAAUCCGUAUUUGAUGCUGAAACCCAAUAGUACGAGGAGGCUUCGGCCGAAUUGAUAGAGAGUGUAAUCAGACUUCCGAGAAAAUCCGCUAGCGUUAAUUGAUAAGGUACCCGUACCGCAAACCGACACAGGUAGUCAAGGAGAGAAUCCUGAGGUGCUCGAGUGAGUCGUGGCUAAGGAACUAGGCAAAUUAACCCUGUAACUUCGGGAAAAGGGGUGCCCUUCAGCAAUGGAGGGUCGCAGAGAAAUGGCCCAGGCGACUGUUUAACAAAAACACAUGGCUAUGCGAAAUCGAAAGAUGAGGUAUAUGGCCUGACACCUGCCCGGUGCUGGAAGGUUAAGGGGGGAAGUUAGUGCGCAAGUGCGAAGCUUUGAACUGAAGCCCCAGUAAACGGCGGCCGUAACUAUAACGGUCCUAAGGUAGCGAAAUUCCUUGUCGGGUAAGUUCCGACCUGCA